UGGGGAACUUUGGACAAUGGGCGCAAGCCUGAUCCAGCCAUGCCGCGUGCAGGAUGAAGGCCUUCGGGUUGUAAACUGCUUUUGUACGGAACGAAAAGACUCCUUCUAAUAAAGGGGGUCCAUGACGGUACCGUAAGAAUAAGCACCGGCUAACUACGUGCCAGCAGCCGCGGUAAUACGUAGGGUGCGAGCGUUAAUCGGAAUUACUGGGCGUAAAGCGUGCGCAGGCGGUUAUAUAAGACAGAUGUGAAAUCCCCGGGCUCAACCUGGGAACUGCAUUUGUGGCUGUAUAGCUAGAGUACGGCAGAGGGGGAUGGAAUUCCGCGUGUAGCAGUGAAAUGCGUAGAUAUGCGGAGGAACACCGAUGGCGAAGGCAAUCCCCUGGGCCUGUACUGACGCUCAUGCACGAAAGCGUGGGGAGCAAACA
rnacentral:rRNA from 1 species